rnacentral:rRNA from 1 species
AUUGAACGCUGGCGGCAGGCCUAACACCUGCAAGUCGAGCGGAGCGGCGGACGGGAGAGUAAUGCCUAGGAAUCUGCCUGGUAGUGGGGGCUAACGUCCGGAAACGGGCGCUAAUACCGCAUACUAUGAGAUGAGCAUAGGGCGGAUUAGCUAGUUGGUGGGGUAAAGGCCUACAAAGGCGACGAUCCGUAACUGUUCUGAGAGGAUGAUCAGUCAAACUGUACCGGAGACACGGUCCAGACUCCUAAGGUAGGCAGCAGUGGGAAAUAUUGGACAAUGGGCGAAAGCCUGAUCCAGCCAUGCCGCGUGUGUGAAGAAGGUCUUCGGAUUUUAAAGCACUUUAAGUUGGGAGGCGUUACCAACAGAAUAAGCACCGGCUAACUUCGUGCCAGCAGCCGCGGUAAUAC